rnacentral:rRNA from 1 species
GAUGAACGCUGGCGGCGUGCCUAAUACAUGCGAGUCGAGCGAACAGACGAGGAGCUUGCUCCUCUGACGUUAGCGGCGGACGGGUGAGUAACACGUGGAUAACCUACCUAUAAGACUGGGAUAACUUCGGGAAACCGGAGCUAAUACCGGAUAAUAUAUUGAACCGCAUGGUUCAAUAGUGAAAGACGGUUUUGCUGUCACUUAUAGAUGGAUCCGCGCCGCAUUAGCUAGUUGGUAAGGUAACGGCUUACCAAGGCAACGAGGCGUAGCCGACCUGAGAGAGUGAUCGGCCACCCUGGAACUGAGACACGGUCCAGACUCCUACGGGAGGCAGCAGUAGGGAAUCUUCCGCAAUGGGCGAAAGCCUGACGGAGCAACGCCGCGUGAGUGAUGAAGGUCUUCGGAUCGUAAAACUCUGUUAUUAGGGAAGAACAAAUGUGUAAGUAACUAUGCACGUCUUGACGGUACCUAAUCAGAAAGCCACGGCUAACUACGUG